GAAUAUUGGACAAUGGGUGAGAGCCUGAUCCAGCCAUCCCGCGUGAAGGAUGACGGUCCUAUGGAUUGUAAACUUCUUUUGUAUAGGAAUAAACCUACUCUCGUGAGAGUAGCUGAAGGUACUAUACGAAUAAGCACCGGCUAACUCCGUGCCAGCAGCCGCGGUAAUACGGAGGGUGCAAGCGUUAUCCGGAUUUAUUGGGUUUAAAGGGUUCGUAGGCGGACCGAUAAGUCAGUGGUGAAAUCUCAUAGCUUAACUAUGAAACUGCCGUUGAUACUGUCGGUCUUGAGUAAAUUUGAAGUGGCUGGAAUAAGUAGUGUAGCGGUGAAAUGCAUAGAUAUUACUUAGAACACCAAUUGCGAAGGCAGGUCACUAAGAUUUAACUGACGCUGAGGGACGAAAGCGUGGGGAGCGAACAG
rnacentral:rRNA from 1 species